GCAUGAUAUUUUUAUUAAAGAAUUUCGGUUAUCGAUGGGGAUGCGUUCCAUUAGUUUGUUGGCGGGGUAACGGCCCACCAAGACUACGAUGGAUAGGGGUUCUGAGAGGAAGGUCCCCCACAUUGGAACUGAGACACGGUCCGAACUCCUACGGGAGGCAGCAGUGAGGAAUAUUGGUCAAUGGGCGAGAGCCUGAACCAGCCAAGUAGCGUGAAGGAUGAAGGCUCUAUGGGUCGUAAACUUCUUUUAUAUGGGAAUAAAGUAUUCCACGUGUGGAAUUUUGUAUGUACCAUAUGAAUAAGGAUCGGCUAACUCCGUGCCAGCAGCCGCGGUAAUACGGAGGAUCCGAGCGUUAUCCGGAUUUAUUGGGUUUAAAGGGAGCGUAGGUGGAUUGUUAAGUCAGUUGUGAAAGUUUGCGGCUCAACCGUAAAAUUGCAGUUGAAACUGGCAGUCUUGAGUACAGUAGAGGUGGGCGGAAUUCGUGGUGUAGCGGUGAAAUGCUUAGAUAUCACGAAGAACUCCGAUUGCGAAGGCAGCUCACUAGACUGUUACUGACACUGAUGCUCGAAAGUGUGGGUAUCAAACAGGAUUAGAUACCCUGGUAGUCCACACAGUAAACGAUGAAUACUCGCUGUUUGCGAUAUACAGUAAGCG
rnacentral:rRNA from 1 species